GUGCUUCCCUCUUGUUCCUCUAGAUUUGUUCUCCUCUAGAUCUGUUCGGUAUAGCUUAAGGAAGCUCUGCCACAUCAGCUCCACAAGCACCGCCACCACACAGUCGUGUUGGAGAACUCAUCUACCUCUCCGACCCUCUUGCUGGAUCAAGAAGGUCGGGAUCUUCAUCGAGUUGUACGUGUGAUGAAGGCGGAGGUGCCGUCCAUUCGGCACUAGAUCGGGAUGGGAUCGUGGGACGGAUCGUGAUGGGAUCAUGGGACGGAUCGUGAUGAGAUCCCGGGACGAGCUGCGAUUUCGAUCGCGAAGAUGGUCCACUACAUCAAACGCGUUAUAUACGCUUCCGCUUAGCUAUCUACAAGGGUAUGUAGAUUCACUCUCCCCUCUCGUGUGCGUAGGAAUUUUUUUGUGUCCCAUGCAACGUUCCCAGAAAGUGGUAUCAGAGCUAGGUCUAUGUGUAGAUGAUAUCUCGAGUAGAACACAAAAGAGUUUGUGGGCGUUGAUGUUAAAUUUGCUUCCCUCAGUCUUUUCUUGAUUCGGUGGUAUUGUUGGAUUAAAGCGACCCGAACCAACAUUACUCAUACGCUUACGAGAGACCGGUUUCAUCGUCUAACAUGCAACUUGUUGCAUAAAGAUGACUGGCGGGUGUAUGUUUCUCCAUCUUUAGUUGAGUCGGAUUUGACCGAGGCGGUUCUUGGAGAAGGUUAAAUAGCAACUUGCAUAUCACCGUUGUGGCUUUGCGUAAGUAAGAUGCGAUCAUACUAGAUAGCCAUAGCAGCCACGUAAAACUUGCAAACAACAAGUUAGAGGACGUCUAACUUGUUUUUCCAGGGAACUAGUAAGCUGCACGUGCAACGCACGUUUCAACUAAUAUUACCGUUGCUGUGAGAAUUAACAUGUUCAGAAAGAUACUUCAAUGGUACUAUUAUUUUAGAAAUAAACUGUAAUUUAAAUGAGCUUUAAGAUAUGCUACAGUUUAACCCGCACACUAUUGUGAAGACACAACUAAUUAUCCUAGUAUUUCUUAUGUGUUUACGCAAUUCUUAACGUGGCAAAAGCUUACAAGGUGCAAUGCAUGUCUAGAUUGUUAUAAAUUAUAUUUGUAGGUGCAGGAAUUUUUUUAGAAACAUAACGAAAAUUUAGGAAACCUCAAGACACCAUAUAAAAACUACAAGAUUGAAAUCUUUACAAUGUCGUAAUGGGUCAUUAAUUAGAUGUAGCUUUUCAUAAUUCAUGUAACACAUAUAAAUCACAAAUGUCGACAGGAAAAAAAUUUCUCUAAGUCCGCAUUUUUUCUCAGGUAGAGAAAACAUAGUUGUUAUGAGACAAUUACUCUCCUAUUCUACACGAUGAGAAAACCAUGAGCUGAUGAGUAACCAAAAAUAAUAGUGGGAAAAUAUGUACUCACGCUACUCAAAUAUUUUUUAUCACGCAUACAGUUGAAUUAGUACUCAAGGUAAAUAUCACUCUGAGGUGCCAAAUUCGCUAUACAGAAAAAUGUUGCAAUGGCCAAUGGGAAGUAUUUGUUAAGUUUCUUCAAGACACGGCAAAAAAUAAAAGCUUAAUUCCAAGAGUGGUAGCAGGAUCAUCUAGGGCAGGUGAUGUAGGUUCAUUGCACAUUUGUUAUGAUAAUUUUCAAGUUCGGUGACUGAAUAUCUUCAUCCUGGAGUCUUUUGAAGGCUGUACACUAUUGCACACUAUAGCAUGAUACUACUUCAGCCAUUUUUUGCUUUUGCUUUAAACCAAGCCCCUAACUUCUUCAUAUCUGUGUUCAAGGAUGUACCAAAGCACCCCAUUUUCAUAUUAGCUUUGGUAACAAUAUAAAUGAACUGAGCAUACCAACAAUUAAACAAGAAUUUAGUAAUAUUGCAUCAUUUAAAUAGUGUUUGCACCACUUUUAAUUAAUAAUUAUAUAAAAAGAAUAGUACAUGGGACAAGAAAAAAGAAUGAGAAUCAAUCAGCACUGGUAUGCGGUAUGCAAAUGGAAUGAUCUCUCACCACUCGACUAUGCAACACAUGAACACUCGAACUGGGCACUCUUGCUCGGUAAUUUGGAUGGUGGCGACCUUCCUUCGCUUCAACGGCGUUCACCCUCUGUGUCGUUAUCUUGGUGGCCUUCCCAUUGUGCAAAAAGCACCGGCUCUUGUGCUUGAUACCAAAAUAUGUUGCUCUUGCCUCCAGCCAUGAAGGCGAUGACCGGCUCGCAAGCCAAAGAAUGGUCGUUCCGCAAUGAAAUAAAGCAGUGAUACUUCAAGUUGCCGGUAAUGUGUAUUACCGAAGGCAAAUCCCAAUAACAUUGAAGUGAAAAUAAGACAGGUGGUUGAUACUUGAUACUUAUUACCAAGAUUAUUUAUAAUCCACAUGUUGUACAAAAGAUUGGAAUGGUGAAAUACAGACAAAUUAUUUCUGUCAUCCUGAAUGUCAACGAAAAUAAGGUCAUUGUCAACACAGCCCAAAUAAUCCAAUGUACAAAUGUGAAACCAUACUCCAAAGGAGGUGGAACAAAAAAAGUAGUUUCAGCUUUUAGACCAAAGUUUCUUAGUUUCACUCCAUUCAGAAUUAGGAAUGUCUAUCAAAUGUUAAGUACUCAAUGUAAUGCUACAAACUAUCUCUAUCAAAUGUUUCUUAGUUGCACGUUAGUAAGAAUGAUUCCUCUAUCUUGCUUUGCUUGCGUCACAGCAGUCUAGAGACUCUUCCUUGAAGCUGGAUCUAGUCCAG
rnacentral:lncRNA from 1 species